AUGGUGCCCCCCACUAAUGAAUGACCAUUGAGAUUAGGUCUCAACUAUGUUUGGUGCCAGCUACAAUGAACAACUUUGUAUAUUUGAUGAUUGGGCCCACCACUGAAUGACCAGUGCUAGGGACCAAACUUGAUCUUGCUUGUCAACAAGAAUGAAAUCCCUUAAUCUGACAGCGCAAAAUGGUUCUAACAUCCAACAGCUUAAAAUCAAGUUAGCUUUUGAUGUUUAAAUCCAAAUUAAUAGAGCGGCCUGAUUUAAUCGCUGCUUUCUAGCUUUGAUGAUACAAUGAUCAAAGGUCAAGGGACCAAUCUCACUUUUGUGUCUAUGCUUUGGAUUUUCGAUGUGUGAAUUGGUGGACUUUCGAUCUCUUAUGCCAAAGAAAAAAGAAGGGUUUUACUCAUGAUUACAUGCGAGUUAUCCAUUGACAAUAAAAUGGUUAAUAUCAAAUUGGAUCAUUUAGAUGGUAUCUGAUUUCGUUUGGAAUGGGAUGUAUUUAUUCCAUUUUCCGAAAUCUCAUAGACAAUCCGGCUCUCAAAAACCAAGUAUAUACAGCUGGCUCCGUUUAAAUGAUUAGGCAUCAUCUCUUGAAUGAUACAACAGCUGGAACAAGAUAUCACAGUACUUUAAGGUAUCCACCAUAUGGGCUUGAAUUGUUGAUUGUCUUCUCAUGUCACAAGACAUGAAGACUCUUCUUUAACUAAAUUGCUGAAACCCAGCUAAGAAUCCUCAUACGAUCAGUGAUCAUGUCUUGGUAAUUGCAUGACCUACUGUUUCAAAAGUGGCUGCGGUAUGUCGGUGGUCAAGGGACUGCAGCAUGCGGGUCGCAUAGUGCAUAUGCAGUAUGUAGGUUGCAUAUACAGGUACACAUGUGAUGACUAUUUUUUUAACUAUUUAAAAAUAAAUAUAAUAUAUUAAGUACAAUAAAACAACAAUAAUUACAGUAAGUUUUUAUUGAUAGAAUAAUAUCAAUAUUAAUAACACUAGCAGCUAAUAAGUGCUUAUUACUUAGUAUCUACUACCGAACAGCAAUGAUUAUAACAUAAUCAGCAUUUUAGCCCUAUUAAUAGCCAUUUUAAGCCCACCUGAAAUCACUAUCAGCUUGAAUCUGCUUCACCUAUAUGAGCCCUAUAAAAGUGGGUCAUAUAUGUUGCUUUAGAAUGCUAAGCGGGUUCAUUUAUGAAACUGUACGAUACUAAGCAGGCCAUACAUGCGGCUGUGCAAUGCCAAGUGGACCACCUUUUUGGUCCCUAUGUGGUAUGAUCGCAUAUAGUAUUGCAUAUAGGCAACGCAAUAUGGUCAAGGGGUUGAAUACACAUAUACAGGUGUAAUGGUAACAUGUACCACAUUUUAAAGCACUGGCUUGACCAGUAGAAUUAAAGGGCCCCACAAUCUUACAUCUCCCAUAGCAGAACUACUUGUUAUAUAUGCCCUCAGCUAAUAAGAAAUAGCGGUGGACAAGAAGAAGAAAAGAGAGAGAAAGCAAGAGACUCAAAUUGUUAAAAUCAUGUAUAAAUGCUCCACCACUAGUAAUUCAGGUGUUUUUUUCAAUGUUUUUCAUGAAAAAGUAGUUUCUAUAAAUAAAUGUAUGCACUUAGUCUGCUGUUAUAGCAUGUUCUGGAAUUUGGAUGGCUGGAAUGUCAGAUGCUAUUUGGAAAUGCAUUUAUCCCUAGGGUAAGUGUGAGUCAACAAAGUCUUUGCUGUGAAAAUUCUUUCUUGUUAAAAAGCUAUGUAAGAAUUAUGGAUGCAUUCAUUAUGUUGUUUGCUAAAUGGUAAUUAUAAUGUUCCAAGUGGUCUCCACUCUCAACAUGAAAACAAGCCAAAGGUGCAUGAUUUGCAUUGAUUCAGAUUUUCAGUGUUCUGGUUCAAAAAGGUAUAGUGCAAGUCAGUUGCUGGACAUCAUGAAUAUUGCAAAAUUGUUUCAUAUGUAUGUUGGAUUUCCACAAAGAUUUAUCAUGAAUAUUUGUUGACAGGAGAUAUCUGUAUCAUAAUUUUAUUGCAACAUAUUUUCUAUUCUUGGAUGCAAUAACUAACUCUGUUAUCUGCAAAAUAGUCUUAGUUAGUUGCAUUGCUAAAGUCAAAACUUCAAUAGGAAUACAGAUAUUCUGAUGCUGUGAAGCGUUUUGAAUUUGAUCAACAACUUGGGCCUUAUGCUUUAGACCACCAUGGAGCGUGGAAGCAACUUUCUACUUACAUCACAAAGAAUGUUAUCGAACGGAUUGGUAUAUCUCUUUUACUUAUAUUUUUCUCUUGUCCUAAGCUAGUUUGAUGCAAUGCUGACAUCAUAGUCACUAGGAGUUGUUUUGUCAAUUUUUUUGGUCUCAUAAAACAUGUUAUGAUAUUAUAUCAAUUAUUUUUAGUGGUCAAAGUUCAGUAAAGCUCUCAGAUCAAAUGUAACUUCUGUCAAAAUUUUCUUUUCCAUUUAUCUUCUAAAUUCUGCAUGCAAAAUUCUUCUAACUUGUAACUACCCUGUCGUUCGCUUCCAGCAAACCUUAAAACUCCAAUUUGGUUGGCAUGCAAGAAAAAAUUUCCUUAGUUAUUCAUCAGUGCAAGUCCUGUUGGCCUUAAAGUUGUUACAUGAACAGGACAAAAGUUCUGCAACAUCCAGAAUGUGUUGGAGAUAGUGAGAUUCUACUACAUUAUCCUAUAUUGUGGCAGUGAGAUUCUACUACAUUGUCCUAUAUUGUGGCAUGUUUCACAUGAAAUCAACAUUAUAAAUAUUCUGAAAAAAUAUUGGAGAAUGACCACUUUUGGAGUUUACGAGACACAGUCACCUCUGGUACCUUAUUUUGUGAAGUCUUCAUUGUGGAGCAUAUCAAAUUUAAAUUUUUUUGCUUAAUCUGCACUUUUAUUUUCUAGUUAUUUUGUUAUAUCACAUGUAAAAUUUUUCCCUGACUUAUGUUCUCUCUGAAGAACCCCAGAUAAUUUAGGUGUUAUAAAGUGAAUAACAUCAAAGUGAUUUUAAGUUUUCAUCUGACUUGCAGAACCUAUUGGAGGAGACAUUACAAUAGCGUAUGAGUCUGGAAUAAUUGACACAGCUCCUAAAACAGCCAUGGAGAGAUGCUUGAUGGAGCAGUUAAGAAAUAGUAAGUUUUCAAACAAUGCUGCAAAAGAAUCUCGUAAACGAGGAUGUUACUACACAACUAUUCCCAAUGCUGUUAAGAGUAGAGAUGUCUUCGGGGAAGAACUUACAGCAUUGAAUCUUGACAAAGUAAUUUUCUGUGUAUUUUCUCCAAUUCAUUUAAGUAGAAUAUGUGGGAUGUUACAUAUUGAAUUGCAUUGAUCUAUUAUUUACCUGAAGAAGAGAAAAAUACACAUUGACAAAUAUCAGUCUAAUUUGAAGCAUCCAAAUGUCAAGCUGUUAAGAUUUGAUUGAUAUGGAUGUGCCAACUUGAUGCUUGCCGGUUUAUCCUCGGUAUCCUUUUGAUUAGUCUCUUCAAAUAACUUUGCACGAUAUGCUUUUACUAGUUAAUUUCAGGGUUGCCAUGUUAUCCAAGGUUAGUAAACUUACUUCUAGCAUACUCUUGGAUGUACUUUUUCUUUUGUUGAAGUUGUAUCCAUCAUCCGUUACUUCUACUACUUUUCUUCUUGUCAAUCAGCUAAUCUAAAAGGCCUUAACUAACCCUUGACCAGAUCAUGAUUUUUAGGAACCAAGCCACAAUUAUCAUAAUGGAAGAGGGUGUUUUCCCAUCAUCUGAACUAGAUAUGAAUCUGCAACGGGGAAAUCAAACACCACUUAGGAUUCAUGGUAGUGUGCACUUCCAAGAAUCAAUUCUCUUUGUUCAUGCUAAUAAGUACAUUGCCCUGUUUGGACAAAAUAAUAAUGUUCUUUACUGCUAACAAAAACUCGAUUGAAGUUCACUCAUCUUUUCAUUCAAUAUCCAAUAACUAAUACAGCAGCUAAGAAUUAGCAUUUGUACAAUACUUUUUUCAAUGGGGGAACCUAAUUACAUUGGUUGUCCUUCCAAGCAUAAGAGAAAUAAAAGGAGUACCCUGAUCUUUCAUUUCCAUCCAAAAGUCAACCUUAAGCCCAUGCACGCCGAACUCUCUCAUCUGUAACAAAAUCUUAAAAUACCUCUAUAGAUAACAUGUCCUAUGUUAUUCUGACUCAAUGAAUUAACCCUUAAAAUACUUCUAUGGAUAACCUGUACCAUGUUAUUUUGACCAAAUGAAUUAAAAAAACUCUUAAAAUACUUCCAUAGGUAACCUGUACUAUGUUAUUUUGACCCAAUGAAUUAAAAUGCUACCUGACAUACCCAUUGGGAUCUAGUUCAAGACUCAAGGCUAUACUCAAGGGUUGAAGGGUUGGAACUGGUAAGCAUGCCUCUCAUGUCUUUUAGGAAGAAGGAGGUGUUGUAAUAUAAUAUAUAAAAUUUGAAAGAUUAUGUGAAUGGUGGUUCUUUAUUUUUCCAUUAGUGAAUUUAGUGGUUUUAUCUAAACAAAACAUGCUACUUUUAUUUAGAAAGUUAAUAAAAGAAGUCUGUCUGAAAAAUGUUUAGGAGUAUUACAAAGUGGAUCAUUUGUGGGAUAGAGAUUGUAGAGAUAAUGCAAUAAACCAAGAAGAUUGUCUCCUAAGGAGGGUGCAUCGUAGGAUUAAAAAGAAAUUGCUUAUUGACCUAGAAGAUCAAAUCAAUAAAUCUGAUUAUCAUCUUAGAAGGUUCUAUAUCAUAGUUAUUAAAGACAUGCUAAAUGGAUGGCACUUGUUGGUUGACAAUGCAAAACAGCCCUCACUCAUUAAGAUAUAAUUAUCCUCAUCUGAUUAUUUAGAUUUCUAACUUCUUCCAACAAAGGUCUAGAAAUAUUAUUGCAUUGACCAUUCUUGAUCUCUUUCUUCUAAGUGAUCUUGCAGCCUAAAUUGACCACUGCCUCCCAACCCUGUCUGUUGAAUACUUGAGCAUGAGAUGCCUUACAUGUUUUCCUGAUGUUAAAAUCUUUUCUAACUGGUGGAACCUUUAUUAGACAUCCACGACCGGUCAAGAGAAACUCUUAUGAAACUAAGGCCUAAGCACAGCAUGUGCUUUCCCACUUGGAAUUCUUUAUGCUUUUGAGAGCUUUGCUGAAAGAGAGAGUGACACUUUUUAUUCCCAUUUGCAGUGCAAUUACUUCCUCUAAGGGAUCACAUAGUUAAGAAGAGGAGCUUUACAAACUUUGUCAUCCUUCACUAAUUAAUUAGAUACUUAUAUUCAACUGAGAGUUUAUAGAUGUACCCAAUCCUCAAUGCUAAUCCUAAUCCUGAUAGCUGGAAAUACAUCCUCACCACACUGCUCAAAAAUCACGUAUCAUCCGCAAAGUUGGCCAACCUCGCGCACGUCUAAUCUAUGCAGUCAAAUUUAUGUAUUGAAAGGGAAGAAUGAGGAUAAUAGCAAGCAAAGCUAGCUAGAAAGAAUUACAACGGUGUCGAGCUGUGUAACUAAAGCCAUUUAAGAAUCAUAACAUGGAUAUUUUUAGGGUUAGGCUUGGGAUUACAAAAGGACAUGUGCUGACAUAUGAACUUUAAUUUGGCUAAGUUGUGGAUAAUAUUUAAAUGACUCUGCAGUUGAAUAAGACAUUCUAGUUGUUUGGCAGCCCUUUUAUUUUUUUGUUCAAUUGGAUUGCUGGGUUAGUUAAUGCUUUCCCUCAAGAUGUAACACAGUAACAUGGUAUGUCGUACCGUACCGUACUAGAUGGUAUCGAGCGUACUGUACCGAUCCUCGGUACACUAAAAAAAUUUCGUACUGUACUGUACCGACACUAUGCUAGUGUGGCACCGGUAUGGGGUCUAGUAUCAGUACGGCGAAUUUUGCACAGUAAUAACAUUUUUGUCUCGAUUCUUUUAGGCCUAGUUGAUUCCAGAAUAGAACCCUAGAGAGGCCACUUAUCAUGUCCUAUCUUGGGGAUAACUGCCAAAAACAAGCCUAAGUUUAGGGUCAAACAACUGAAUCCCGAAGGGUCAGUCAAAAUAUGGAUCACUGCAGAUCAUUAAUUCCUUAUAUCCCCAUAACCAGGCAUUCCAACCAUUUGAACCCACCUGAUUAGGGAUUUUGUCCAAAAAUACUUUUCAUUAGCAAUAAGUAAUCAAAAGUGGCAGGGGCAUAUUUGUUUUAUAUCCAAAAAAUAAGCACAAUUAUUGGAUGAGGAUAAGAGUACUUUAUCAAACACAAAUUAAGACAUCCUACCUGAUAUUGGAAUUAACUAUAUCCCAAGUAUAAUAAAUAGUUACACCAGAAUUUCUAUCCUGCUUCCAAACUAUUCCUUAGUGUUUUAUGACAAUUCAACAGAAACUGGUAAGCAAAUUUUGUUGAAAUCCAGAAUCGUCUAAAGGAAGCAUUCUCUAUAUAGGGGCUUCAAUGUGAUUAGUUUUUCCUCGAGGUUACAUGGUGAUUUCUGAUUAUAAUUCAACUCUAUAUCCCCUAGCUGUAUGGGACCAUGUGUCGGUAGUAUAUUUCAUGUUUCUUUUCAUGUUGUCCUAAGAGAGUUUGGCUCCUAAUAUCCAUUAACUUUCAUAUAUUGUUUUUCCGAAACUGUCACUUCCAUGACUUGUUAUGUGAACUUUGCGAAACUUCCUAUUGCAACAAAUUUCUCAUGAACAGUAACCUUAACUGAAGUCCAUGUAUUGACUACAUAGAAUGGUCAUCUUCCUAAAACAAUGUCAUAAUAUCUGACUAAUAAUUGAUGAAGUAAAUACUAUUCUCUCAGACAAAUUUAUUAGAGAGCAUACUGAUGAAAGACUACGGAGGUGCAGAAGAUCUACUUUUGGGGGAACUGCAAUUCGCUUUCAAUUCAUUCAUGGUAAUUAUCGGCUGGUGUAUGUUUCCUGCUUCAUUUGUAUUAUACCUUGUUGACAUUUUUAAGCAUACAGAUGGGGCAAUCACUUGAAGCAUUUCUACAGUGGAAAGCAUUAGUUACCCUUCUUUUCAGCUGUACAGAGGCUGUAAGUGCUGACAUAUCUUCUUUUGAGAUGAAAAUCAUGAAAUACCUCUUAUCAACCUUGUAAAUUAUUGUGUAUCAUGAAACCCGAUGGGUUUCUGUCUUAUUUUAUAUUAGUUUUCUUAUUCUAAGUAUCUUCGGCUUGAUGCAUUUUGAGUUCAAUAGAAGUUACUCUGUCAAGGUCAUUGCAUUAUUGCAUAACAAGCAUAUCCAUAUUUUAGUGCACAUUAGUAGUGUAUAUUAGUGCAUACUUAUGUUUGUGAAACAUGGUUGACGGUCUAAUGACAUUUGAUGACUGAGUGAAACUUGUUGUUGUGAACAUUUACUGAGUUUUGCUUGUACAUGAUAAAGGAAAUAGCACUAGCAAUUUGGGUUUUGUUCUCAUAAUAAGGGAAAGAUAUAGAAGAAUAUAUGGUAAAGAUGUUGAAACUAAGUUGAUUUACAAUUUUGCAUUUACUUCAGUCAUACUUUAAAUGUAGCAUUAUGGGAUACAUCUUUGCUUAAGAUUAAAAGCAAAAUACACAGAUAAAAAGCAAAUACACAGAUAGGCAUGAUAUUUUUGGCCCUUGCAGAACAUUACCUGCUACCGGAAAGGGCAUGUGGUCUUGGUUGCUACAAAUUUUGACUAUUUGUAGGUCAUGAAUCAUUGUGCUAUCUCUUCACGCACACUUUUAUUCGCAUAUAUUUAUGUAUGAGGGCUGAACUAUUGUUUAGUAUAUGGAUUUAUGCUAUUUCCCCCAUUAGUUGAUUUCUGCAAAUUUCAAUAUUCCCAUUAUGUUCUAGAUCAAUGUUAAAAUCUUCUUCUACAUUAUUGGCCAAUCACCAAACUUAUCUCUAGAUCAAGCCAAAAAAAUAUUUGCGUUGGCUUGAGGCCGAGAGAAUAGUUGGUGUCUCUUCAAUGCCAGAAUCCAAUUAUCCAUCAGUUUUUGACUAUCCACAUAGUUACUGCUCAUGAAUUGUUUUUCUGAGGUCUUUUUGUUGUCAAAGGUCCUUAAGCUUGCAAACUUUUCCUGAUAGGACUGAUUUAGCAUGUAAUAUCCAUUUGAAGUAAUCCAGGGUGUAGCUACUGCAGCAUUUGGGAAUUGAAAGAAGUAGCUACUCCAGCACUUGGAACGGCAUGAAAUAUAGUCAUGCUUCUCUUUCUCUCUCUCUCUCUCUCUCUACUAACCAAUCCAACUCUAGUUGGAUCACCUCUUUAGCCAAACCACUUCUUGUUCAGUUUACAUUUCUUUUCUCCCCUUAGGACAAGGACUCGGCUAUUCUCGANNNNNNNNNNNNNNNNNNNNNNNNNNNNNNNNNNNNNNNNNNNNNNNNNNNNNNNNNNNNNNNNNNNNNNNNNNNNNNNNNNNNNNNNNNNNNNNNNNNNNNNNNNNNNNNNNNNNNNNNNNNNNNNNNNNNNNNNNNNNNNNNNNNNNNNNNNNNNNNNNNNNNNNNNNNNNNNNNNNNNNNNNNNNNNNNNNNNNNNNNNNNNNNNNNNNNNNNNNNNNNNNNNNNNNNNNNNNNNNNNNNNNNNNNNNNNNNNNNNNNNNNNNNNNNNNNNNNNNNNNNNNNNNNNNNNNNNNNNNNNNNNNNNNNNNNNNNNNNNNNNNNNNNNNNNNNNNNNNNNNNNNNNNNNNNNNNNNNNNNNNNNNNNNNNNNNNNNNNNNNNNNNNNNNNNNNNNNNNNNNNNNNNNNNNNNNNNNNNNNNNNNNNNNNNNNNNNNNNNNNNNNNNNNNNNNNNNNNNNNNNNNNNNNNNNNNNNNNNNNNNNNNNNNNNNNNNNNNNNNNNNNNNNNNNNNNNNNNNNNNNNNNNNNNNNNNNNNNNNNNNNNNNNNNNNNNNNNNNNNNNNNNNNNNNNNNNNNNNNNNNNNNNNNNNNNNNNNNNNNNNNNNNNNNNNNNNNNNNNNNNNNNNNNNNNNNNNNNNNNNNNNNNNNNNNNNNNNNNNNNNNNNNNNNNNNNNNNNNNNNNNNNNNNNNNNNNNNNNNNNNNNNNNNNNNNNNNNNNNNNNNNNNNNNNNNNNNNNNNNNNNNNNNNNNNNNNNNNNNNNNNNNNNNNNNNNNNNNNNNNNNNNNNNNNNNNNNNNNNNNNNNNNNNNNNNNNNNNNNNNNNNNNNNNNNNNNNNNNNNNNNNNNNNNNNNNNNNNNNNNNNNNNNNNNNNNNNNNNNNNNNNNNNNNNNNNNNNNNNNNNNNNNNNNNNNNNNNNNNNNNNNNNNNNNNNNNNNNNNNNNNNNNUUUGUUGAAUAAGGGCCUCAAUAAUAAAAGGAUAAGGGAAAGGAGUGGAAGGAAUUGGUUGGGGGGAGGGGAGAAGGGAAAAGGGCCAGUGGUCAACUUUCACUCCAAUUAAGUUCCAUAAUAACUUCAAAACAGCAUUAAAUAGACUCAAUACUAAUAUUCAUAACAAUAGCAAAACCAUAAUAUACUAUCUAUUAACAUUCCGAAUCAAAAGAUCUCAGCUGUAGGCUAACACAAACCCACUAAAGAUAAACAAAAAAACAGAAAUAACAAAAAAAUUAACAAUCAAAUAGAUCUGUUCUCGAUUUUGAUGACACACAACACUUGGAUGUAUCAUAAUGUGUAGCAACAGGAAGAGGUUUUGAGUAAAUUUUCCCUAAGUCUGCAUACUAUGAUUAACUUUUACCCAAAUAAUUAGCCUUAAAAGGCUAUCCGAUUCUCAGAUGUAGAAAAUCUGUGUAUCUGAAAUACAUUAUACUGUAGGGACAAUGAUAGACUUAUAGAAGGCAAAAAAGGAAAAAAUAUGUGAUUAUGUGAAUAUUAGUGAAAGAAGAUAAUAAGGAAGGAAAAAAAGAAAAGAAAAUAAGAGAAAGAAGAGGUAUGUAGGCAAAAUAACAAGGAGUAUGUUCACUUGUGGCUAUAUCUAAUUCAGAUUUCCUUUAAGGGUGCCCAAAGACCAAAGUCCCCUUAGAGAGAAGCUGACCAUUAACCAAGGAUUAAAAUAGUGUAUCAUGCCCAUGCCUGUCAAGGUGUGGAGCACAAUAUGUUAGCUUACCAUGCUAUGCCAUGUUGACGGUUGGCAUGUGCCAGCAUAUAAAGAUAGAGAAGUCUACAAAUAGUCUAGAACUAGCAUGUAAGAUAUAUUUUUACUAUCCUUUCUAAUGAUAUAACACUGACAACUUUAUACAAGCAUAUAUACAUGUUUUAAACUAAUAAACAUAGAUUUUAACUGAUCUAUAAAACAAAAUGGUAUAAAUCAUCAUAAAUAUCUUUAAAGAUUGUACUUUAACAUGUUCUUAUAUAGUUUCAACUUUCAACUAAGUUCGCUGAAUCGGUAUCGGAGGCCGUAAUGGCCGAUAAUUGGUUCAGCAUGGUACAGAUCCAUACCAUAUUGUUUUGGAGUAUAUGAGAACAGGGAGAGUCGGAGAGGGGGAGAGGGAGGAGGGGAGAGGAAAAGAGGGAGAGAGAGGGGGAGAGCAAGGGAGGAGAGAGAGGGAGGGAGAGGCUGAUGUUGUCGUCAAUGCGGGGGGAGGGGGGUCGUCAUCGCCACCAUUGAGAGAGAGACUUACCUAGAAGACCUCGUCAUCGAUAGUCGUGGCAGCAUUUGGCAUCUUUUGUCGAGUCGGCUGGAGAUAGAGAGUUAGAGACCAUUAUGGCUUUGAGGGAGGAGGGGCGAAGCCACAAAUCGAGCGUCGAAUGAUCGGUUAUUACCAUUGCCCCAGUUGAAUUAAUUGAACAGUUAUAUCAAACCAUACUGAUGGUUGACUGAUCUGGUUUGGUAUGGUUUGGCUAACACUGGUUUCAACCAUCGAGACGCAUGCUAAUCUUACACAUUCAACAAACUUGUAAGCUCAUACGCACAUUCUUAAUUGUCAAUACUAUGGAAUAUUUAUGCUUUUGGUAGAACUAGGAGAAACUUAUUGAUGUCGAAGUGCCUAGGAUUAUGGUAUGCUGAACCGGUCCGGUACAGGUAUCGGUUGGUUCAGACCGUACCGGUUCAGUUCCUAACCGGUCCGAUACGGCGGUGAAAAAUGGUUCUAGCCUCAAGGGGCCGAAACCAAGCGGUACAAUGGCAUAUUGGUGCGAAUCGGUCCGGUUUGCACCGGUACAAGUCCUGUACCACAUUGGAUUGGUGGAAAUCGGACUGCUUCACACCGGUACGCGUGCCCGCGCAGGCGCGCUGGCUAGGCAAAUCGGUUUGGCAUCGGUAUGAACCGGUCCGAAUCGGUCCGGUAGGCCAUCGGUACGCCAACCGAUACCAGUUUGGCGGACCAUGCCUAGGAUGCACAUGAUACUGCAUAGAUUGCAAGUCCUAGCUGCAUUGAUCGCGAGUUCUAGCUGCACAGGUCAGGUCCCGGUCGUAUGGUCGUGACUAGUUUUGAUGAUUAGUUAUUUUCUUGUCUCAGUUAUGAAAGUUUGACACUAGUAAAUUUUAGGAAGUUAUAAUUUUUGUGAAAUUUUUUUUUUAAGAACUUUUGAUGUUAGUAAGAAAGUAGUUAGGGUUUUUUGAGUUAGAAUAGAAUUUGGAAUUCCAUAUUGGAGGGUUGGAGAAAAGAGUCCCCUUGUACCACUUAUAUAUAUCUCCAUUGGGGCUCCUCUUGUAAUCAUACUAAAGAUACUUGAAAUAUCUGAUUAGUGGAGAUCAAGGUUUGCUGAACUGGCAUCAGGAUCCGUACCGGUCGGCGGACCCGUACUGAAACUGGCCCGUCCAUUUUUUUUGGUGGAGUUUUUUAAAGUUGAUUUAAUUGGUAAUCAAUUUUUUUGAACUUUUUCAAUAAUUUUAAGUCUAAUUUGUUAUUUUUUUAAUAUUUUUUGAUGUUUUUUGAUUUUUUAAUAUUUUUAUGAUUUCAGUUUAAGCUAAAUAAUGUAUCUUAUUGUUUUAAAAUGAUACAAAUCAUAAAAUAAUUAGUGAGAUAUUGCAUGCUACAAGAAGCAACUUGAAAUAUCCUUAAAUCAAGUAGUGAGGUAAAAAAUAUAAAAUAAUACAAUCAAUUACAUAUAUUUAAAGUACAACAUACAUACCAAUAUCUAAAAUCUUGUCGAGUGACGAUGCCUCUCGUAGAAAUUCGGAUCAUCAGUAUAGUUAGGAGGCAGAUCAGCCCACUAUAAUGAAGUGGCAUUGUAACCUUGUAUGUUCAUCCCAUAAGGAACGCGCUCUAGGUUAUAAGUAUUCUCGGAUCUCUUGCUAAAGUUCUAGCUAUGAGAGAUGUCCUCUGGUUGAUAAAACAACCAUGAAGAGGCCCAUCCGAAUAAGUGACGACAAAAUUCGAUAUGUAAGAUGUUCUAGACUGCGUAGGAUAGUAGCCAUCGGAAGAUGCCCCAAGACGCACCAUAUCUAUUUCCGUAUUUGUAUGGAUCAUAGGAUGCCUGUGGUUGCGGAUAAUAGGAUCCAGCAUACGACUCAAAAUCUAAUACGUCUAUGGAAUCUACUUCAUGUGUGAGGUCAUCUGUAGUUGCAUCGUGUUUUCUUGAAUGACCUCGAGGAGUCCGUUUUCUAUAUGCAAUCGGAUCUUAGCGGGUUCUACUAGAUCGUGCAUCAUGGUCUCUAUCCUAUGUAGCAUGCGUAAACUGGGACGCCGGUGAAUCGAAGAACACCAUGCAGCUGUCUCAUAAACGGUGAUCUCAUAUUCUCCACUUCUUUUUUAGCCAAUAGAUCCAUGACUAUCAGAACUGCUGCUUAUGAUCUCUGAAUGUGGAUGAACUGACUUCUCGACACUCUCCAUUGGGGCUACAGGUGCUUUUUGUUUUUUUGGUGUGCUGGGCAGUUUUCUUGCCCUUCGUACCGCUUGCUGCCUGCUUACUCUUCUUGCUCCUCUCAUAGGAUCAUCCUCAUCAUCAAUGAAAGCACUAUGGAUCGGAUCUGUGCACUUUAGCUCUACUUCCUCCUGAAUAUAUUUCAACCUUAAUCUCAGAUUGUAGUGAACAUAUAUAAGGUCGUUGAGGCGCUUCUGUGUCAAAUAGUUCUCCUGCUUGCUGUGGAUGAGGGUGAAAGUGGACCAGUUACGCUCACGGCCACUCGAGGAGACCAUCUGGAAGAGAAUCUGUAUAGUUCGUCGCUUAAGAUUUUUCGCGAACAAACCAAAAUGAAUCCACCAUUCAGCUGCAAAAUUAUUAAAAAAAAAUUACAUAUAAGAUAGUACCAUAUUAGUAACCUCUAACACCAGGUAAAUGUCCUUAUGAUGUGUAACAUAUCUAUAUUCAUACCUUUCUUACGUAUGACAGCUGCUGAGACUCCAAAACUGUCGAUGCUUUCUCUAAAUAUUUUGGUAUGUGAAAAAGAACUGUGUUAUAAUAUGUUAAUAAUUGAAGAUAUCAGUUAAAUUACAAAUGUCACUUAAGUUAACUUAUCUCUUUUAGAUAUAGGAUCGCGACUUCUGGAUCAUUAUACUAAUAAAAGCAGCUCAUGUCUUGUAUCAUUAUAUUAAUUAUAUUAUUUUUCUAAGUAAAAAACCCAUACACAUUAAUCAAGGGUCGUAUUAACAAGGGUAGCUGAACCGGUAUCGAGCCCCGUGCAUGUCGACUGCCGAUUCGGUAUAGGGUGAACCAGGCGGUUCAUCUUGUUUUAAUAGACUAUGAUUUAAGCCUUUUAAAGAGAUAGGGAGGCUUGAAUUGGUUCAAAUGCUUGGUUUGCACCGUUUCCACUCCGAACCGCUCGGUUCAGGAUGGUUUGGAGCGCUUCGGGGGGGGGGGGAGGGGGGGAUUUUGAAAUUUAGGGCCAAACGGUCCUGGUUCCUCACUGGUUCGAUUCGGUACGGGGUGAGCUAGGUGGUUUGGUCUGGUUCGGCAUACCUUGGUAUUAAUAAUGUGGAGACCUAUAUAUUAUUUCUCCCUCUUUUCCCACCCUUCACCAAACAAAUAAUUCUGAUUUUUCAAGAUAUUUAAACGUUUCAGAUUUUUGGUAUAUAGCACAUAUUCUGAAUGCAUGUUAUUUCCCCUGAGUUAAAAUAUCUCAAGAUUAUUAUUAAGAGUAUCAAAAGAUAAAAUACAUUCUUAUUCUUGAAAUAGGGAUGAAAUGACGUUAAUUCCUCUGCGAAGCAUGCGAAGCACAAAUCAUAAGAAUGAUAUAGUUAGAAACUUAGAAUGGUCUUGUGUAUUAAGCCAUCAUGAUAGCAAUUCAACUCAAUUUCCUCCCUUGAAUCUAUAUGUAUAGAAAUAAGGGUCUAAAUAUCAAUGAUUAUGCAGGAAAUUAAAUAUGAAAAACCUUGUUAUGUUUAGUUAUAUUUAUCAUAUGCUCAUACAUCUUAUGUUUUUAUAAGAAUGACUGCUUUUUUUGAAACUAUAUAUUUUUGAGGUGGAUGGAGCAGUCUCUAUGGAUUUUUAACUCCAUGGAGCAACAGUUUUAAGAGAAUAAUCUAUUUCAUUUUUGGUAAACAUUGGGAUCCUUCUGCUUUGUUUUCUGUUCCAUUGUUUUCGUUAUAUGUUUCCUUGAAGGAAAAUCUAAAAUAUGACUGUCUCUUUUAAAUUUGUAUGUAUUUUCAUUAUGGCCUCAGCUUAUCUGGAGUGGGCCCUAUUAACCAAGAUUAAUGUCAGUCAGAUGAAAGCAAUUUAUGACUUAAUAUCUUUAGGCUGGCAAAAAAAUUAUAAAGUGAUCAGUCUACCACAAUACGUAAUGCGAGGCUGACAUUUUGUUGUAUUGAUGUUUCUCCAGCAUGAUUUUGUUUUUCACAUUUUAUUUUUCCUUUGGGACAACAUCAAUUUUAUUACAUAUCUGAUUGAAGGAGUGCUCCAUGCAGUUUCUCAGGGUGAUAUACUUCCAGUUAAAGCAUGGCUUUCAUAAAAAUAAAAAAGAUGGGAAUGCCGCAGACAAUGGAAUAUCUGUAUUCUUAGAUGAUGCAUGGUUCUCUAGAGACAUAUUUUUGUACCGUCUUUGCAAGGUAAUUUGUUUGAGGUGAUUUUGUUAUGAUGCAUAUGGAGAAGGUUAUAUUUGACUUCUUAAGCGCCUCACUUAAAGGAUCAUUAAAUAUGCGAAGAAAGGAGUUUGUAAAUUUACGACAAGAUCAGACUAAGAAAAACAUAUUCAGUAAAUUUACCAACUUUAUAUGAGCCAAACCUGGUCAAGAAUCUUACUUCUCUGCAUAAUUUGUCAAGUUCUUAUUUUUCUUCCUAUGCUAGUUGACAAAGAACUUGAGAUCAUGGCAUACUUGAGUGUUGAUCAAGAAACUUGCUCAUCAUCAAUAUGUCAUGAUUUUUCUUAACUUUUGGAUGUCUUUUAAUUUUCCAGGAUUUUUUUCCAGUGGUUCUAGAAUCCUCAGUUGUUGAUGGAGAUCUUCUGUUAUGGGUAACCUUCUCAGCUUUUUGAUACAAUAUUGUUAUGAUCUUUACAAUUGCAAUAACUGGGCUCCUCAAAAUUGUUAUGAUCUUUUUGUGGAAAGCAUCCAGUGGGAUGGAUUCGGAAGAUACAUCCUCUAAGCAUUUGUAGGAUAAAAAGGUACAAGACAUACCAACCCGAACCCAAGUGCUAGCACAGUACCCAAGUGUUUUACUAAACAAAAGGUAAAAAGGUAAAGAAACUACAAAUGUGAUUUCAAAGAUCCCAAAUACACAAGCAGAGGCAAAACCAAGUAACCAACGCCCGGAAAAGUUAACCAAAAAAGAAGGCAGCCCCACACUAGCAUUCUAUCCUAAAGACCAACAGUUAUUUGGCAAUUGCAAGAGCCUUGCAUGUCAAUAUCCAGGGGAGUGGAUAAGCAGUAACACCGCAGUUUCCUGAAACAUGGUCAGCAAUACCAUGAGAGAUCCAGAGAUAAUCUUCAGUAGCUCGAAUGAUUUGUAAUUUACCACCUACUCAGCUGUGUAAACAUCUAUCAACAGAUAAUUGAUAGAGAAAUGAAUCCUAUAAUAGCUCUUAGAUUUACUAGUUCAAGUUAUAUAUUUCCUUUCUAACCAUGUCAUCCAACAAAGCCAGACAAUGGCAAAAGCCCAAGUCUUUUUCUUUUGUGAGUAGGCAUGCUUUUCACCUGCCACCUAGUCCACAAAGGAACUAAAGAAGCUCCUGUUCCUCUAAGACCAAAAUAUAACUGAUUGAAACCUCAAAAUCUAUGGCAAAAGAAAGAUACAAAACUCAGUGUCCAUAGCUGACCCACAAAAUGUACAAAACUAGCCACCAGUGCACCUUUUUUCUUCAAAUUUUCUUAAGUGAACCAUCAAUUUUGAAUACAAGCGAAAUGAAAAUCGUAGCUUUCACCAUCAUUGGUGAAUUCAAAAUGUGCCUCUUGAAAGGACUGAUUAGACCACCAUGGUUCAAGAACUUGUAGAAGACACCUGACAAUGAAGAUGCCUUUCUUGUUAAAUCUUGGAACCUGAGAUUCUCUCUCAUUGUUGAGUUAAAUGUUGGAAAGAAGUUGAAGAAAAUGGUGAUUCCUCCAUUGGCACACCCUCAAAAACUCUUUGAAAUUUAUAUUCUCAACAUAUUCGACCAACUGAAAUUCUGUAUUUGUACCUAAAAGGGUAUUGCCCAUAUCAUAGAUCAUUUAGGAUGCCUGCUAACCAAAUAACACUCAGCAACGCAUCAUUUUAUCCAGAACUUGGUAAAAUUCCUGACUCCAACUUCCCUGCAAAAACAAGGUUUUCCACUGAUAUAGAUCUUUCAGCUGAUUUUAAUCUGAGUACCAGCUUCUGGCAACCUCUGAAAUAGGAUCUGAAAAUUUAGUCCAAACUAAAGAGCCAGACUCAUUUGACACUAUCCAUUUCCACUUUUCCAACAAAAUCUUGUUGAAGUCCAUCACAUGAAUCACCUCUUAUGGCCUAAUUCUUUUCCUUUGCAUAUGUUAUCCCGAUUGAUUAAGCGAAACCAUGCUUAUGAUCCUAGACCUUGCGCAGAUCUCAUGUAAAGUUGAUCGAUCCUAUGCAUAACCAUUCAGAAGGCCUGUAAAAAUACAAAAUAAAAUGGUAUGCUGAUGCACAACGUUUAUUAGCACUAGAGAUCAGAACUGAAGAUAGAGCCUUUCUCUCCAUCCUUCUAACUUCUUUAUCACUCUAUUAAUCUAGUGGGUCUGAUUGGAUCUACAAAGUUUAUUGUUGCUAAGAUGGAAACUAGAAGCCUUUUGCUUUUAAGUCAGUUACAUGUAUAUGGUAGAGUGCAAGCUAAAAUUAGUAGAUAAAAUUACAUGUCAAAGGCAUGAAGAAUGACUUUGUGAAAGCAAUUUAACAUUGCAUUAUGAAUUAAUAACCUAGACCAAUUUAUGAUCUUGGCGAGCUCACAUCAUUCUCUAAUGCUUACAUGUUCUUAGAUACUUUUCAAUCAAUAAUAAAUUAAUAAAAGAGAAAGGCUUUGAUUGAUAUAUCGAAUAAGAAUUACUAUGUGCACCAAGAAGAGACAAAGUUUGAGCCAAUGCAAUCUUGGUGGACAUGAUGAAUGGUUAAUUUUGAAGGUCAUGAUGCUGAUGUUGUUGGAUGAGAUGUGGGCUGUAGCCACUGGAUUUGAAUAAAAAUUAAAUGAAACUUUGGGUUUGGGCUCUACUUUAUGGAAUAUAGACAAUGCUAUUGUGAUAGUCCAUUGUGCUUUAUUGGCAUUUUUUUUUACAUAUGUAUGUGGAAACAUAUUUAUUGCCAUGUCCUAGCUGUAUAAUAUCAUAUAUUUUCAGUAUUUUCUGUAUCAGCAUGUACAUAUUGAGUCAUAUCUAGAUUCUGCAUCCUACCCAUGCCUGACAGCUCAAAAGUUUUAUAUAACCUGAUAGUACUAACAACAUAAAUUUGAAUGAUGAUGAAAAUAAUCCUAAAAGUAACAUUUUCAAAAUGCUUUGAGACAUUUAUCAAGGAAGCAGUGAACUCAUAGAUCUAUGGCAAGGAAAAUUUUAUAAAUCCCAGCCUGAGCUUGGAACAUGUGUUUUAAAACCUAGUCAACUUGCCCAGCUGAACUUGGUUGACCCACAACCCACUAGGCAUCUCAGGUCAUGUUGAUACAGAAUCCAGAAUUUCAGAGAAAUCACUUAAGAGUAUUGGCUGGGUGGUUCAAUUGGUCAUACCAACUCGGUCAAACAGCUCAGACCUGCACAGGUUUUUCAUUUUUUUAAACCAUAAAUACCCUAAAUUUCGAACUGGUCCAUUGCUACAUUUCCAUAUCUCUGUCCCUUUGUAAUGUCUUUUAGCCUUCAAUGAUUGCCUUAGCUAUGGCAGCUUUCCUCUUUCUUCUCCAUAUCCCAUCGCUUAUGUCCUCUAUCCACUUUUUGUUUUUUAGAUGCUAAGAGGAAACUGGCAGGACGUCAUUGUCAUUCUUUUUCUUUUCUUUUCUUUUUAAAUUUAUUUAUUUAUUUUUUGCUUAGACUACUAAGAGCAUAUCUUUCUUUGCCCGUGUUGUUGGUUGUUCACAAGGAAAGAGUGAAGUGUUACAGAUCAGGGAUUGCUGACUUUCCUUCCCAGAUAUGGGAUGGAGAGUACUCUUCUUCUCUUCCUUGAUCUUCUUCCAAUAUAAGCAAAACUAGCCAUAUAUGAGGCACUUUCCNNNNNNNNNNNNNNNNNNNNNNNNNNNNNNNNNNNNNNNNNNNNNNNNNNNNNNNNNNNNNNNNNNNNNNNNNNNNNNNNNGCAAUGGGGUUGGGGGAGGGGUAGGAAGUGGGAAAUGGUUCUGGCCUUGUUGGAUUGGGGAAUUUUAUUAUAAAAGCAAAAUUCGGCUGGUUCAAUUGUGGUUGGCUUGUGGUUGAGCUGAUAACUCAUGACCUGACCACCUAAAUAGUUCAGGUUGGUUCAAUGGGUUUGAUACGUGGCUUGGAACCAAACCUAUAUAGUAAUCAGAUUUGCUUGAUCAGGAUCUUAAUUAUCAAGUUUGCAUGUCAUUUGCCUUAUUGAAUUGGUGCAGUUGAAUCUUAUAUAUAAAAUGCCUUUAAUUGAGAUGAUGCUUUUGCAACUAGUUCCCUUGAUCUUGUGACACAUGAGGUAGCAUAACCAUAAUGAUUGAUAUGACUUGUAGACACAGCAACUUCAAUAGUUCAAUUAUUAAAUGUGAGGUGUGAAACUCUCGUAUUCUUGUCAUUUUAUCUAUGGUGUUUUUAAAGCCUGUCUUUGCAAUAAAUCUCAAAUUCAUGCUAUUUUUCUUUUUUCAAUGCUUCAAACAUCCACAAAGGGAGUUGCAAAAAGUAUUACCUUGUAUGCACAUCUAUUGUCCAACCUAAUAUUGGUAUUGAGCAAACUAAAUUAGGAGUGCAUGGUAUGCCAUGCUAGUGGAUUAGCUUGUUACACUUCCCAAAACAUUAACCUUUCCUAUAUUCUUUAAAUUUUAUUGAUCUCGUAAUUCUUGAAUGAUAUUUGUUCAUCAGCAUUUAGCUUAAAGAUAUAUCUUAACAGUUUAACUUAAUAUGGAUGAAUAAGAUUUGGUACAGAACUCAGUUAUCUGAUUAUACCACUACAAAAACUGGUUCAUGAACAAGAAUUGCAAUCUAUGUGCUGGAGGUCCUGAACUAAAAUCAACUGAGUCAACAAAUAUGAGCAAUUAGUGGGAUCUGGAUAAACAAACUGCAUAAUUUCCUUGGUGAAACCUGGUGGACGUGCUUGGACGAGAGAUCUUGUCAUCCCCUUUGAUAAAGGGUCAGGAUUUGUGUAGCAUAGUGUUGUACCUGUUGAUUUAAUAGUAUUUGUUGAAAGGAAAAGUAUGGAUUAUAACAUAAUCCUUUGGAAUGGAAAGGAUAACCUAAAAUGCCACUGCAGUAACCAGUAGCCAGAUGAUAUUCUCUCACAAUAGUUUGGUUCUCUAAUUUCAUAUGACAUAUCAAAAUCCUGCAGCGGCAACUUCCUAUAUGUUCUUCAUCGUUUUCCAUCUAGUCUAACCAACCCAAUAAGGGUACUUAAUUCUUUGUAUUUUAGUAUGGGUUUGUUAACUUUGUCAAUUCUGUAUAUGACAACUUGAUAUUUAAAUUUCAGACCAGAAAACUGAAGAGACUGCUUGAAACUGCACUUGGUUGGGAUUUUGAGGAUAAUGCAAUGGAUCUUAUCUUUGAAGAAGAUGAUGAGGUUUUUUUUAGCAUCAUUUCUAUUGAACUAUAGCUUUCUGUUUCAUAUUACUGAGUAAUUCUUAGUCUUCCUCUUUAAUUGCAGUUCUCUCCUGUCGUUGUACCUUCAAAUGAAGUGAGUCCCGAUGAGGGCCCUGUUGCUUAAUGCUUAAUAAGGGGAUCUAGAUGUCCAGAUAUGUUAUGCCAUGGUUUAUUUUCUAUUGCAUUGCCAGCUUCAGCAACCAGUUUAUGGAGAAUCUCCUGUGAAUGGAGUAUACUUGUUGUAUUGCUACUAAUGCAGUAACACCUGAAGCAAUAAAUCCAUGCUGGUAUUAUCAUAUCUCUUAGAUCCUGUGUUUCUUACUUUUUCCUCUCUUUCUUAUUUCAAUCCCAUCUUAUCUGCAGACAAAAAAAAAAAAAAAAGAACGCAACUGUCCACUUGUUUAUCAGGAAGAUUAAGUUGUCAAAGUUCGGACUAUGAUCUGGAUUUUGAUCUCUUGGAGAGAGUUGCAUUAUGCAAGUGGAUGGUUCUGCAUCAUGUGAGAACGCCAUAAUAAAGAGCACAAUAGUUGUUUUCUUCCCAGUAAAACUGGCUGCUUUUUUACUACGUACUGGUCCGGAGAAUGAUGGUUUGGGUGCAUGUACUCAGCUUGUUAUUUUGUUAGGUCAAUCAAUCAACUUUAUUAGUAAACAGCAUCAGCAAUAAUGGCCUAAGGGUGCACACGUCUUGGUGAGUUAUGUUACAGGGAUAAAACUCGACUGCUCUAGAAGACCUUGUCACCCAAACCCAUACUGACUGACAGGUUCAUAGACCCAUUUGCCAAUCAGAACUUCCAUAACCCUCCCGGGUUCGAUCCUGCCCACCUAGCGAUGUUUACGGGUCCCCUUUGGAUAUAUAAUCCUCUGAUUGAUUGGCUACCUGGAUGAAACUUUGUCAUUGUUAUAUGGUGCUAGUGAUGAAGUUUCUAAAAUUAUAUCAGUGACAGAUGGUAGCAUUUUGAAAUAUUAGUAGCGUAUGCAACUUAAGGUAGCUGUCCUUAGAGAAGAUGCUAAUUUUUUUUGCAGUACUUAUUCUUGGUAAUGGGGGAGCAAAAUAACACUCUUCAUUCAUCUUCAAUGAGGUCACUAGUGAGGAUGGAAAUGGUCCAUGGAAGUCUGGUAGGGACAUGCCAGUAGGUAACUAGACAUUUAUUGGUUGAAAGUAAGAUUCAUAUUGUUAAUCCCUCGUGAAGAUACCUUUCGUAUGAGUCAUCCUUUAAGAAAAUAAAAGAUAUAAAUGAAUUGCUCGGCACUUGAAUCAUUUUGCAUAUUCUAGUUUUUGCCCUCUGUUCAAGUCCGUAUCCUCUGACCCCAUAUGAGUUUGGGAAUUCAAAUGAUGCCGUCUUCUUGAUAGUUAACUCUCCUGAAGGAUUUACAUUUUGGAGACCACAUGGAAGUACCCAUUAGUAGCGCUGUACGAAGAUGAUGCAGAUUUUGGAAAAGUUAUUUUGUUCAAGUUUCUGACAUUGAGGUGGACGAUUCUUCAAGAGGUCUGAAAUGUUCUAAACUUCCGAUGGGGAUACAGUGUGAUGGACACGUUAUUUAUUCAUUUAUCAUUUAUUUCUGCAGUUCUUUAGCUCGAUACCAUUCAACAAGAAUGGUCAAGAUAUUGUUGACCACUGACAGGAACUAUCUUUUUAACCACUGUUAACCACUGUGGUCUCUAUGAUUAGCAACCAAAAGUAAGAACCCGCAAGAUUAGCGGUAGGUUUGAUUUGGAUAGAUAUGGAAUCAGGAGUAAAAUAUUAGAUUUUAAUGUCGAGCACGAGGUGAGGUAGCAUAAAUUAUCUAUCACUGUUUUCAGGCUGAGGGAAGCAAGAAAGAAGCUUCCUGCAAUUCAUGCAAGGAGGUGUGCCCUCCCUAAAGUGGUCCUAGGUAAAUAGGCAAGUAGUUUCCUUAAAAGUUGCAUUAUAUUUUAUGGGCACUCUUUAGUACUGUAUGAUUCUCUAGCAUAGGAUUCUUAUCUGAAAUGCUUGGGCUGUGUGUUAUGGCAAAUAAAGAUUGCGUUUUGAUGUCCCUUGUACAAUUAAUAAAAAAGCACCAUUAGAAUGACCCAAUUAGGUUUCUACUAUAUAAAGGUGUCCUGAUCAUAGGUUGGCCACGAUAUCAAGUUGCAUGGUAUUUUUAUACUAUUAGCUACUGAUUCCUCCAUCAUUUUAGCCAGGAUUGAAGCCAGGCAUAAAUAGUUGGCCAAGAUCUGAUCAUUGUACUUCUGGUUGAUGCUGUCAGGUUGAUCUAAUUUGGUCCAAGCAUUAUUCAUGCUUGAACCUGUUCGUUUAAUUGUGUUGGACUAAGUCUAAUAUUAUUCAUCUGAUCUGUUGUGAGUUGGCCACAACUGAGAGAAUGACAAAUGCAAGUCGAUCAAAGUUCAAGGUGUCAUCGGGAUCAAAGCAUUGGAGAGAUUUAGUAAUCAUAGUUAUGUUUCAGAAACUGCUUCUGAGGUUGGUCUAGUUUGGUUCCAAAGGAUGUAGUUUGUUUUCGUUCAUUGUCUCUUGAAUAAGUGAGGUCUGGUCUUUUCAGAUUGGGUUCAGUAAAUCGUUCAGUUCCAACCCAAAGCAACAUGCGAGCCCAAACCUGACCAACCGUUCCAAGUUUUGGUCUGUUCCACCAGCUGCAGUUUGGCUGGUGAUCUACCAUUCUGUAGGUCUGAAGUGGUACGAAGCAACGGUGCUCCAUACCUGGAAGUCAAAAAGGCAAUAGCUCUGCUGCUUCCAGCGGCCAGUCCCGGUACCUCAAUUCCCUUCACAGAUCAUCAGCCUUUAUGUCAUCAUAUCCCUUUAGCAAAAGCAGGUCUCAACAUUCUCCAAUGAUACUAAAGCUGUCUAUCAAAGUCUGGAGAAGGUGUGUAUGGUGUGCAGUGCUUUGGCUUUGCUUGUUACAAGAUGUUCCCAGCUUUUGGUCUCCAGGUCCCUCUGUUCUGGUCUCCAUGUGCCCUACCAGCCAAAGCAAGAGAGGACUGGUAAGUGGAUAUCACUUGGAUGCUGGGAACUACUCUCUGCACCCAUGGGUAACUUCAAGAGAAGGGCUGCUGACUACCUCGCUAUCUGUGAAUGUAAGUUGACUGCAGGGAAGAAAGAAAUAUAUCUUUGGAUCAUAAAAUUAAAUUUAAUCUAAUCGACAUCUUGGUCUUAUCAUGCCUGAUUGCCUUUCAUCCAAUGGAAUUAAUUCUUUUCCACCCACUUGUGGACUGUGGAUCUGAACCGUGCUUCUGAGUUGAAUGUUAUUAUAUUGCAAGAGCCUUUUUUUUUCAAAAAAAAAAAUCACAUUAGAUGUUGUCGUAUUCAUAGUUCAUUACCCUUGCAUCCUUAUUUAAGCUAGUUGAUUUAUUAACUCCCAUUAAUCUUCUUGUGCCACUUUAUCCAUGACAGUCUUGGGGAGAGUGAAUCUUUGAGAAGGAGAGGUAAUAUAUCAGUACUCUGCUCAGUUGGCAAAUAUUUUCUCUCAUGGGAUGCUGCCAGCUACUUUACCAUUAAAUUGAAAUGUGGGACAAAUCUGGCAGAGCCCAAUGUUGACUAACUAUAGCGACUCAUCCAUUCAGCGUUUCUUUUUCUAUUCAGUUGUUUAAUGUCACUCAUGGGCAUAUGGACAUUAUAAUUAGAACCCAAAAGCCCAUAAGCACAGACACCGAAACCUUUAACACAAAACCAGUCAGUGGUAACUGGUAAUAGAGACAGUGGAAAGCACAAAAUAGUAAAUUACAUUAAUAUAUAUGUUCCAUAGCUGCUUGAAGUAAAUAUCCAGAAAGCCAUCAGUUUUAAGCACCAAACUAAUGCACUAACCAUAGGAAGAAUCCAUAAGGCCAUUGCCACAACGAAGAACUAAAAAGAAAAAAAAAAAGAAAAGAAAAAACUUACAAGCAAUGAACCGCUUCUACAUCACAAUACAACCCUUGGUGUUCUCGUCGCUGAAAAGAUGGACACCAUAGUCAUCAUUUUCUGACUGGUUAUUGGGAUGGUACGGGUUUGGAUACAAGUGGUGGUAGUAACCAGUGUAAGGAGGUAUCUGAGGGGACCUAUGGUACAUCAUCUGAGGCUGCAUGUAUGUGCUGGGAUGCAUCAUCAUGUUAUUGUUGUGCCCUCUCAGGUUGUUCAUGAUGGAUGAUGGAUGGGCCUGAUACCCUUGCAUGUUCACCAUCAUGGGGGAUUGAUGAUGCCCGCCAUUUCCCUCACCAUUUGAUGGGAACCUUGUGUAACCAGGGAAUCCAUUUCCCUGAAAGCCGCCACCUUUGUUUGCACCAAGCCCAUGGAGGCCCAUCAUCAUGCCAUUGAUGUCAUUCACCCGUCUUCCCUCGCCUGCAUGAGGAUUACCACCACCCAAGUGGACACCAUUGACGAUUUUGCUAUGACCCGGAACAUCGAUACCCUUUUGCUGCGAUCCAUUUGGGUUCUUCAUCUGAUUCUGGUUGGGAUUUCCUCCACCCUUGUUUCCAGCUCCACUGUUACCAUUCCCAAUAGGAUUACCAUGGCCAGUUUUCUUUGCAUUGGCUGCUGCAUUGCUCGCCUGUCUCAGAAAAUUGAUUUGGUUCAUAUUGAGGAAAGGCAGCUCGUCUAGGCCAUCAUCUUCGUCGUCGUCAUCAUCAUCAUCAUAAUAAUCCUCCUCAUCAGAGCUCAACGAGGAAAGCUUAUUGUGCUGAUUCUUGAAGGCUUGGAGGCCUUGGAUGAGGCCUUGCUUGCCUUCGUCUUUGUUGUUCUUUUGGCCAUCCUUCAUCGGAUGGGCAGCAGCAGCAGCAGCAGCAGCAGCUUGCUUCUGUUGCUUCUGUUGGUUGGUCUUGGGGUUUUGGCUGCUGGUUUUCUGAGACCAGAUCUCUGCACGCUUGCCAGAUCUGGCCAGCUUCUUGAUCAGAGUUCCAGAGUCCACAUUUCCUGUGACAGUGACCCUCUGGUGCUCCACAUCUAUGCUUACCGAGCAGACUCCUGAAUCAGAUGCAAAUAAAGAAACAUUAGAUAAUAAAAUACGGAUAUAUAAGACUGGCGUGGUUACAGUUCCAUUUUUGUGUCCCUUGGACUACUUGGCUGCAGCAGGUGUCGUCAUAUUUCGGGUGCUCAAAGAGUUCAGAAGGAAAUGAGCCAGGUUUGGAUAGAAAGGUAAAGGUGUAACUUUUCUUCCAUUUCCACGCACCACUUCAAUCAGUUCGCAGGAAAAAAAAAGAAAAAAGAAGAAGAAAGAUGGGGAAAGGCUAAACAGAUGGAAGAACAAAGGGGAAGUUCUACAACGAAAUACAUUUAUGCUGAUCUACAUGAUAUGCCCAUAGACACUCUUCUUGGUAGAGCAGAGAUACUCCAAUAGCCUCCAAUACGGAAUAUUUGGGUGAGCUCUUAUGGGUUUCGGAUCAACUCUCAGUUUUGCUUAGAAGCUAGCGAAGUUCCAUGUGCCUCCAUUUUACCAGCAGUUAAAAAGUGUCACCCAGAAAACUGUUUUAACUUAGGAAAUAACAAGAAAAUCUUACAUUUGUUUCAACUUUUUCUUAUAUUGCAAACAACCUGACAAAAUUUUAUGUAAAAAAGAGGGGUCUCCUGUCUGGAAAACCAUAUUCAAAUAAGUAAAAAGAAACAAGCAAAUCAGAAGAAACUUGGGGGGGAACCAAGAAAAUGAAACAGGGUGAUCGAGUACCCUCAAUUUUUCGGAGGAGCUUCUUAACUUUCUCCUUGCAUCCAUCGCAGUGCAUGUUCACUUUGAGUAUGUAUGUCUGCAAGAAACAAAAUAUUUCUUUCAAAUACUCUUCUUAGAAGACACCCAAGGAGGGAGAGACAGAGAGCGAGAGCGAGAGGAGCGGAAGAGGAGCAAGAGUUACCUGGAUUUUGAGGACCUUGAAGUCUCCACCUUUAACCAUUUCAGUUGCUGUUUGAGAUCAAACUACAAGAAAACCCAGUCUUCUCUCUGCGGAGUGUGAGUGAGAGAGUGAGUGAGAGAGAGAGAGAGAGAGAGAGAGCUACUCGCAGCUAAAGAUGUGGGGAAAAUGAUUGCAUGAAGGCUUAUCUCCGGCACUAGAAAAUACCUCCCCACUCCCACCCACCUCCCUCUAUUUAUCACACUUAACCCCGCAUGGGCGAAUGGCUAUUCAGUCCUAGCAUAGUAAAUUUGAUACACACACCCACACUCCUUUUAUUUGAUUAAAAAUAUGCUCCUGUUUCAAGUUUCUCCAGAAGACUGCCUAAACAGAGAGAACGAGAGAGAGAGAGUGGCGUACAGCAAGGGAAGGCUACUUUUUCUAGUAAAAAUAUAUAGCAGACCUCUCAAUCUUAGCUUGCAAAAAGCCAUCCAACGGCCAAAGCAGGACCAUAGAUGUGGGAAAAGACACGGAGAGAGAUGGAGGAGGAGACAUGAUGUUGACGUUUAAUGCUAAAAAAAAAAAAUUGGUAAAGGGGCAAACCAACAGCGACUUGACAGGAUCGCGUUAACCAGGAACUCCUCUUCGCUUUAGCACAGGGGGACUUCAGUAAAGUGCUCUUCCCCUACGACCGUUAUUAGCUAACAUUACAGUGGCUUUUUUUUUUUUCCCCUCUCCUUUGACAUCCGUCUCAUCAAAAUUGUUUGACAUUAAAUAAUAACAAUCCAACGAACAUUAUUUACUGUUAUAAUGGAAUAUGACAAUAAAUAACUAAAAAAAUAGCACCGUUACAUAUUCCAAUCACAAUAUAUUGAAUAAAAAAUUAUUUAUUCUGCUAUUAUAAUGGUUUAUAUUUAAAAAUAUUAUUUUAUUUAUAUAGUUGGGCAAUCUAAAAAUUAAAAGUAAACUGGUGCUGUUAUAUAAUUUAUUAUCAUUAUUAUUAUGUAUAAAACAUAACAGAUUCCGUCCAUAACCAUUAGAGCAGUCGAUUAUUUUAACCUUGCUCUGCCAUAAUAUUGUGUAGCAAUAAUGUUCGUAGAAUUAUUAUAAAAUACACUUCUUAAGAAACACUAAUCUAGUUUGUGGCACAGCCUUUAUGGCGUAAUUUUCUGGUCUAUCAUAUGCACCAACGGCCAAGCUUUAGAUAAUACCAUCAUGGUUAAAUAACAGGUAGAUUUUGGAUCAUUAAUUCUUUUCAGCCAUCAUUUGGAUUAAAUGUUGAGAGAUAGAUCUCCAAGCUAUUUUACAGGUCAUAAUGGUAAAAAAAACAGUUCAUAACAGCAUUAUUGGGGACUUUUAUCCUAGAGGAGGCAGAGUAAUCACCUAAUUAUUUUUCUCGUGUCAAUCAUUGCCUCCAGCAGGCUGGACCCUUUGGGGAAUUCACAGGUACAUGAUGACAACAGUUAUCAAGCUUUCUUGCGCAUAAGUAAAUUGCUAUUUCUUUUAUUGACAGCAGCCAUGAUUUUAGUAAGAAUUUUAUGUCCCCAAUGUUGAGGUACUAAAAGAAGUGGUUUAAGAUAUUUUAUGAAGGUUAUGGAGUACUUAUUAUACAUAGAAUAUAAUCUUAUUUGGGAUUUGCUUAGCAUUACUUUAAUCUAGAUUGUGCAAGAAUCUUCUAUUUCUGAGAUGGAUGACAUGGUAGCGAUCCGAUCCGAGCAUCCACCGCAUAGGAUCCAUGCUUCGCGGCGAUAACUCCUUCAAAUUGAAAAGCAUGGCGAGAGAAAGUUAUACAGAUUCCUUCCAAAAUUAAAUAGUACUCUUGUGCGUUCAUAACAUUUGUAUAAUAUCUGCCAUACAGGUAGCUUCACAUGCUUCUAAUGUAAUGCAAAGCAUCCAAAGUUAUCAUAACAGAUUCUACGACAUCGCAGCACCUGUCACUUAAACAAGAUCCUUGUAGUUAAAGAGCAUCUCUCUCAAUGAUGGUUCCCAUACUUCUUUUCUUCUUCUCUUUUUUUAACAAAUAGGACAUUUCAUUGGAUCAUGUUUUAACAGAGCUCCAGGGGGUGGGAGGGAGGAAUUUCAACAGCAAACCUAGGACCAACCAGACUGCUUGCUCACAUGUUUGCUUAAUUUACCUUUAUAUCUGAAAUAGCAACAAAAAUAGUAGGAUCUUUUUUAUAUUAUAUUAGAUGGAGGAAAAAUAUUUACAUGCAACCAUGCCUAUAAAUGUGACACAGGUAUGAUGUACUUACUAUCUGAAAGCUAAUGCUGAUCAUCAGAAAGCAAACAUCUCAAAUACUCAUGUUACAAUUACAAUGAUCUGAAAUUAUUUAAUGUGCCAGCUUUUCAUUAGCGGGGUUGUCCUCCUUCCUUCCAGGAACAAAUGGUAGUACCUCAUGUCUUUGCCUUCAUUAUACAACUGUGCUCCCUUUAGGCAGAGUGUAGCUCUGGUAGUGGAAAAGGAAGAGCUGUAAGUGGUCGCAAUGCCAAGCCAGGUAGAGCUGCUUCUGUUGUAGCUCGGUGCAGGCCGGUCGGGUCCCUAUGCGUGCUCAAAGGCCAACUCUUUUUUACAUGCCAUCAGAGAGCUCGGCCACCGAAGACCAAGCAUCCAAGCACUAAUGGUGGAGCCCGAGAGAUCCUGCAUGUCGUUGCAUGGACCUUUGCCUCACGGUGGACUCCAAAGGAGGCGCAGAGCUAACGCUCAAGCAACAAAGAGGCAGCUAUGGGUUUCCUGCAUUCCAUGAGGUAUUUAGGUAUGGAUGGUAUUGGACGAUAAGAUGAAGGAUGUUGUGUACAAUGGCUUUGGUUUCCUCAUCUCUUCCUGCCUUCCUCCCUAGAGACGGAAUGGUUCAGAUGCAAACCCCCUCCUUAUAUGGCUUUUUUUAUAUAUGGUCUAUUCUAAUUCAGCUUCUAUUUUAAUUCUGUAACUCAUCUUUCUUGACUGUUCCAUUCCUUUGUCAUUUAAUUCCAUAACGUUUCUCCAUUGUUCUGUCCCUGCGUGAUUCAACUUUGUAACAUCCCGAGUCAUCCAAUUUUAUAAUGUAUAAUUCUUGAGUUUGCUAAUGCUGUCAUAAAUAAAAUGAGAAUACUGUAAUAACAUAUGUUCCUCGACAGUUCUGAUCCUAUUAUGUUUCUCGAGUGUUCUAAUCCAAAGUUCCAUUUAAUUUUAUCACUCAUAUUUCUCCAUUGUUAUAUUCCAGAGAUGUACUUAAUUCUGUAACUUAUAUGUCUUGAUUGCUUGAUUUAAGAGAUCAAUCAAUUUUAUAACAUAUAUUUUUAGAGUGUUUUGAUUUUGUACCGUAUUAUAAAUGAAGUGAAAUUACUGUAAUUUAAUGUAAAAUAUGUUUCUUUAGAGAUCUAAUCCCAGGUCCAACUCAAGAACUUCUUCGACUCUAGGACAGCGUCAGACGAUAAUUGAGAGCGCCCAGCCCACACAUCAACGGCAAAGCUGUUGCGAGAGAAAUAGAGACAAAACUAGUUAAAUACUAUCCUCAUAUCUCUGCUAUUUUUUUGCCCUUGUUAUCCUAACAUGCUGCCUCCUUGCAUUUGUAGGCAAGGAAUCCCUGCAUCCACUCCAUCGGUGCUGGCCACCAUCAUCUCUUUCCAGCAUGUUAACAUUCCCAGGCAUCUCUAACAACCCAGCCUUCAUGUUUUGCUAGAAACUGAUCGAAGACCAAAACAGCCAGAAAAAAGAUUGGGCUUUGGGAUGGGUGAUGGGUGAUGGGGAGCACCAGAAUGGGAGAGGAAGAGGCAAAGAUGCACCCGGAGCAGAGAAGGGUAGAUGGGUUGAUUUGAGGGUAUCUCAGGAGUUUUUGUUUGAUUACUUUCUUAAACGAUCGGGAAUACGGAUUCUCCUUGCUUUUUCUUAGAUUAAAGCAUUGCACGAGCUAUAUAUUAAUUGCUAUAAAUAUACCACAUAAAGGCCCGUUCGUCAUCAUCGUUGUUUUAAAUAUUGAUGCCAAUAAAAUUAUUAAAUGUCCAGCAGUCCAAUGGAUUUUGGUUGCUCGGCAAGUGGAGGAGUUCCUCAAUGCAACCAUAGAGAUUCCCCAGCCCUCUCAGUCCACCAGACGACCCCUCUCGACUCCGAUAGGCUCUUCUUUGACUCUGAGCGCGACAGUGAAAGCCCUGGAAGAUGGCAAGCUAAUGGACCGGACAUGACAGGCCCAUCUUUGCUUUCAAUUGCAGGAAUACCUUUCGAAUGUGAUGGGUCGAUCAUGUUGCCUCUUCCACUUAUAAACCAACGACCGAUAGGGUGGUGAGAUAAGGAGACAACAAGAAUCUUGGCCACCAAAUCUAGUGUCCCCAUGUGGAUCAUGGCUUGCAAUAAUUUUCUUGUAGUGAUUUCGUCGAACAGGCUGUGUUCAUUUCCCUUUCGGAAAUGCUAAAGACGGUCUGAGUGCCUUGCACAUCUUCAUCGCUCAUAGCUGUUUGGGUACAUCUCACGAGCAUCGCAUAUUUGGCAAUGCAUCCGACCAAAGCCAUAAAAUGGUCCGACGAGGGAGACAGGAGGAGCCACGAGAAUCCAAUCACAGAGGUGCAGGACUGGAGCGGUGGGAUGGAAGGAUUUGCCGGCGGCAUCGGAGUCAGUGGAGCGGGGUGGACGAGGGGAAGGGAGGAAACGUUGGUGCGGACGUGGGCAUAAAAUUUUUAUGUGGAAGCAAAUCCGCGUAGAAAACAUGCGGAAACCAUAAGGUCCGCAUAUAAUUCCUGUGCGGAGGAAAUCCGCAUAUACGAAAAUAUACGAACGUCCGCGUAAACGGAAAGCAACGCAUACACUUUUUAUGCGGAACAAAGACUGCAUGGAAGCCAUAUACGCGGAAAUGAGAUGUUCGCAUAAAAGUUCUCUGCCAUAAGAAAAUCCGCAUAGAAAUAUUCAUAUAGGCCUCCGCAUAAGUUGGACAAUGCGGACAGGGAAAUGGGAAAUGAGAAGGUCCGCAUAAUGUUUCUAUCGGGUAAAUCCGCAUAGAAUGAUGUAUGCGGACGCUUGUAGUAAGGUCUACAUUUUGAGAAGAAGCAUUUACCCGGUUUCAACCUCUGCCACUUCAUCCAUGACCCCGCCGGAUGUCUAAACUCCGGCAACCUGCCAUCCUCAAUGCCGGAAGCUCAUAGAUUUCCACCACCACAAAGUCUCGGUCUCCAUCACCCUCUGCGAAGAGCCCAUCUCCUUCUCCAAGAGAGACUGAUAACACCCUCCUGUCAAUCCAAAUUCGCCUAAAAGACAUCAGAACAUUCCAGGAGUUUUCGAUUGGAUUGUCAUCCAUUAUCAUCAUAUCUAAUGAGAUAAACACUGUUCUGUUAAAUGAAUGAAUAAUGAUCCAUAAUGAUGAUCUUAGUUAAUUUACAUCACCUUGUAUCCUAAGGUGUCUAUAUCAAAAUAAGUAAAAAAUCUCGAUAAGAUUCACAAUUGGAAGUAUUAGUAUGAUAUAAAAUUAUAUCAUGUUCCAAACUAUAGGUGAAGACUGUCAACUUGCACAAUAGGUUAUUAGUUUCAUGCUAGUUAAAAUUAUAAGAGAACGGAAUAGAAGUAGCUGCAUUUUUAUAUGUUUCCAAUGAACAAGUAAAACUGAGACAUGUAGCAAGUCCAAUGGCAUCUAGUUGUUAGCCUUGAGACCAACUGUUAAUUGUACUUCUAGGUUUUAGAAAGCUUUUAAAAAUCAUGUUAUGCUCAAGUUGCUAAACAUUUGACAGCUAAACAAUUGUGAUUCAACUUGGGUCAUUAUCAAACCAUUUAACUUUUGUUAUCCAUAUCCAUAAUGUUAUAAUGCGAAUAUCAUCAAGUUCAGCUAUCCUGGGCUAAUCCAAGACAUAUAAAGCAAUUUAAAUUAACAAGUAAAAGCAGGGAAGCAAAACUAUUGUAUGAUUUUAUGAGUAUAGAGAUUAAAGAGAAACUCAAACCAAAUAAAGGAGUUAGCUUUUCAAAUAGAUCUUAGUCUCAUUGAUCCUGUCUUCUAAUCCUUCUUCACCAGAAUAUCAAAAUGGAUUGAUUUAAAUAAAGAUGACAAUAAAACGAAGAUAUGAUCUUAUCUAAUCUUUCUCAUAGUAGCCAACCGCAUCAAGAUGAUCCUCUUAGAUCAAUAUAUCUUGUGCUAAUAUUUGGCAAUUCUAUGGUUCUUAAAAGUGCAAGCCGGAGGGAACCAUGACAUAAAAGGAAGAAAGGAGGAACGAGAGUGGAAGGGUGAAAAUACAUAUACUCCAACAUUUCCCAUUCUAUCAUAUAUAUAUAGAGAUACUAUUCGAGAUUAAAAAUGGUUUAUAACAAACCAACCAUUUCUUUAGUCUAUAAAAUCAUACAUUAAUGUUUUAUUUUAAUAUGGGAUUAAUGUGUUAGUUACUUCACAAAUGAUUUAAUUUGAUAUAAUUCUAAUUAAUGGGUUAAAUAAGGGAUUUAAUUUCCAUAAAUAAUAGACAUUAAAUUAGCGAUUAAAAUCAAUAUAAUUUUAAUAUGUUAAUAAGAGAGCAAAUUUAAGUUUAAAUAUUUUGGACAAAUCCAUGAUUUUAGGAGUACUAAAUGAAUGCAUGCAUGCAUGCAUACAUGCAUAUAUGAAUAUAUACCUACAUAUGUAAGUACAUACGUACUUAAACGUACGUAUGUACAUACAUAUAUGCAUGCAUAUAUACACACACAUGAAAACACAGCCAAGGAGAGAAGGUUGGAAAAAAAGGAGAGAUUGAUGACCAUUGAUGAAAAGUUGAACCUACUAGAUCAAUAAAGGCCGAUAAGACAAAGGCAGAAAAGAACUGUACAACCAUUAACAAAUUCAGGAACAGACCACACGCUUGCAGCAAGCAUAUAUGAGGUGAAAACCCUUAUGUAAACAAUAAAGUAAAAGAGAUCUAAUAUCUUAUGCUACUCCCAACAGAACUUACAGCAUAACCUCUACAGAAUGCACUAUAUAUAGAUGGUCAAACU
rnacentral:lncRNA from 1 species